rnacentral:rRNA from 1 species
UACGGGGGGAGCAAGCGUUGUUCGGAUUUACUGGGCGUAAAGGGCGCGUAGGCGGUCAGCACAAGUCAGUUGUGAAAUCUCCGGGCUUAGCUCGGAAAGGUCAACUGAUACUGUGCGACUAGAGUGCAGAAGGGCAACUGGAAUUCUCGGUGUAGCGGUGAAAUGCGUAGAUAUCGAGAGGAACACCUGCGGCGAAGCGGUAGCUGGCCGACACUGACGCUGAGGCGCGAAGCCAGGGAGCGAACGG